UACAGAGGUCUCAACCGUUGUUCGGAUUCAUUGGGCGUAAAGGGUGCGUAGGCGGUCGCGCAAGUCGGAUGUGAAAUCUCAGGGCUCAACCCUGAAACUGCAUUCGAUACUGCGUGGCUAGAGUGCUGGAGAGGAGACUGGAAUUUACGGUGUAGCAGUGAAAUGCGUAGAUAUCGUAAGGAAGACCAGUGGCGAAGGCGAGUCUCUGGACAGUAACUGACGCUGAGGAGCGAAAGCGUGGGGAGCGAACAGG
rnacentral:rRNA from 1 species